AUGAACGCUGGCGGCGUGCCUAAUACAUGCAAGUCGAGCGAACAGACGAGGAGCUUGCUCCUCUGACGUUAGCGGCGGACGGGUGAGUAACACGUGGAUAACCUACCUAUAAGACUGGGAUAACUUCGGGAAACCGGAGCUAAUACCGGAUAAUAUAUUGAACCGCAUGGUUCAAUAGUGAAAGACGGUUUUGCUGUCACUUAUAGAUGGAUCCGCGCCGCAUUAGCUAGUUGGUAAGGUAACGGCUUACCAAGGCAACGAUGCGUAGCCGACCUGAGAGGGUGAUCGGCCACACUGGAACUGAGACACGGUCCAGACUCCUACGGGAGGCAGCAGUGGGGAAUCUUCCGCAAUGGGCGAAAGCUUGACGGAGCAACGCCGCGUGAGUGAUGAAGGUCUUCGGAUCGUAAAACUCUGUUAUUAGGGAAGAACAAAUGUGUAAGUAACUAUGCACGUCUUGACGGUACCUAAUCAGAAAGCCACGGCUAACUACGUG
rnacentral:rRNA from 1 species